GACGAACGCUGGCGGCGUGCUUAACACAUGCAAGUCGAACGGAAAGGCCCUGCUUGCAGGGUGCUCGAGUGGCGAACGGGUGAGUAACACGUGGGUGAUCUGCCCCUUACUUUGGGAUAAGCCUGGGAAACUGGGUCUAAUACUGGAUAGGACCAUGCUGUAGGUGGUGUGGUGGAAAGAUUAGUUUCGGUAAGGGAUGAGCUCGCGGCCUAUCAGCUUGUUGGUGGGGUAAUGGCCUACCAAGGCGUCGACGGGUAGCCGGCCUGAGAGGGUGGACGGCCAAAUUGGGACUGGGAUACGGCCCAGACUCCUACGGGAGGCAGCAGUGGGGAAUAUUGCACAAUGGGCGCAAGCCUGAUGCAGCGACGCCGCGUGGGGGAUGACGGCCUUCGGGUUGUAAACUCCUUUCAGCCAUGACGAAGCCCUUGUGGUGACGGUAGUGGUAGAAGAAGCACCGGCUAACUACGUG
rnacentral:rRNA from 1 species